GCGCUGCUGACCGCAGCCUGCAGCUCGCAGACAGGCUGAAAAAAUAAGUCCCACCUAAUGGAGAGAAAGGAAUCAAACUUUUUUUUUUUUUCUCGGUUUUCAUCCAAUCCUUAAACCAGCGACUUCAUGCGCAUCACGGCUGCCAAUCUAAAAUAAGAUGAUUGUUUCCACACCAUGCCACAGAGAGGUCCACCACCUUCCUG